rnacentral:rRNA from 1 species
AAUGGGGGCAACCCUGACCGAGCAACGCCGCGUGAGUGAAGAAGGUUUUCGGAUCGUAAAGCUCUGUUGUAAGUCAAGAACGAGUGUGAGAGUGGAAAGUUCACACUGUGACGGUAGCUUACCAGAAAGGGACGGCUAACUACGUGCCAGCAGCCGCGGUAAUACGUAGGUCCCGAGCGUUGUCCGGAUUUAUUGGGCGUAAAGCGAGCGCAGGCGGUUUGAUAAGUCUGAAGUUAAAGGCUGUGGCUCAACCAUAGUUCGCUUUGGAAACUGUCAAACUUGAGUGCAGAAGGGGAGAGUGGAAUUCCAUGUGUAGCGGUGAAAUGCGUAGAUAUAUGGAGGAACACCGGUGGCGAAAGCGGCUCUCUGGUCUGUAACUGACGCUGAGGCUCGAAAGCGUGGGGAGCGAA